rnacentral:lncRNA from 1 species
UCACGUCUAACUAAGAGCACUUGGAUUAUUUUGAUCAUAGCAUCCUAGUUAUUUGGCAUAAGCAUAGAUACAUGAAACCGAGUCUACAGGGCAUGUCCCAAAGGACGGUGUAGUAACAUUGGUGAGGGUAGAUCUUAUUGUCUUGAAGUUGCAGGAAGCAGACUAAAAAUUACAGAUUUUAUCUCCAUGUAUCAGCUAUGGAGCAGAUCAGAAAUGGCGAGUCUUAUCUCCAUGUACCGGCUAUGGAGCAGAUUUCAGCCACUAGUCUUAUCUUCCUGAAGUUGCAAUGGAGCAGACUGUAGAUAGCAAGUUUUAUCUUCCUGAAGUUGCAAGAAGCAGACUAAAAGUUACAGAUCUUAUCUCCAUGUAUCAGCUAUGGAGCAGAUCGAAAAUGACAAGUCUUAUCUCCCUGAAGUUGCAGUGGAGCAGACUGUAGAUAGCAAGUCUUAUCUUCCUGAAGUUGCAGGAAGCAGACUGAAAAUUACAGAUCUUAUCUCCAUGUAUCGACUAUGGAGCAGAUCGAAAAUGACAAGUCUUAUCUCCCUGAAGUUGCAGUGGAGCAGACUGAAGACAGCAAGUCUUAUCUUCCUGAAGAUGCAGGAAGCAAACUAAAAGUUACAGAUCUUAUCUCCAUGUAUCGGCUAUGGAGCAGAUAAAAAAUGACAAGUCUUAUCUCCCUAAAGUUGUAGUGGAGCAGACUGAAGACGGCAAGUCUUAUCUUCCUAAAGUUGCAGGAAGCAGACUGAAAAUUACAGAUCUUAUCUCCAUGUAUCAACUAUGGAGCAGAUCGAAAAUAACAAGUCUUAUCUCCCUGAAGUUGCAGUUGAGCAGACUGAAGACGGCAAGUAUUAUCUUCCUGAAGUUGCAGGAAGCAGACUGAAAAUUACAGAUCUUAUCUCCAUGUAUCGACUAUGGAGCAGAUUUUGGCCAUCGGCCAGAUCUCUCCUAAACUGUAGCGGAGCAAACCGAAGACGAGUUCCUAUACCCCUGAAGAUACAGUGGGCUAGAUGAGGUUACCUGAAGGAAAAAAGCAUCACGAAGGCCGGGUAAAAUUGACCCAUUUGAAGUCUUUACUCCAUCCCCGUUACACGACAAUGAGUAAAGAGGGGCAGCUGUUGGACUCAAUUUUUACCCAGCCCAAAAUACAAUUCAUUAAACAUAACUCCCAAACCAAAGAAUCAAACAGUCCAACUUUAAGCCCAAAAUACAAAAAAUAGACUAAACCCUAGCCCAAGCUUUUAGCCCAAUAACUUAAACUUUUUUUCCAGCAAAGUGAAAACCCCAGGCAAGCUGCUGCUCGUGCCCACGCCCAGCGCCCCUCCCCCGCACGUCGCGCGCCUCUUCCGAGUCGUACGCCCUUCACCAAGCCACGUUAGAGGCGUACCCGCUUAGGAACCUACAAAUGUGUAGAACAGAUUGUAAAAGUGUCGGCUAUAAAACCGAAACAAAGCAAUUGUAAAAGGGACGUUUUUUCCCUCACAUCAGAAUACACAAGCAAUAGAACAUCAACAAAAGCCCGUUUACAGUCUUAAGAAGUGUUUUUUUAUUUCUUUUCUUUAGAUUUUCGGUUAAUGUUUGUUUUUUUCCCUCUCUAUCGAUUUUAUAAACUAUUUUUUUAAAAAAAGAAAAGAAAAAAGGAGACUCACUUGGGUUCACGCCGUGAUCGGUGUUGGAGACGGAGGCAUAGAAAUGCCGAUGAUCCUCUAUUGCGGCUUCCUCAGAGUUGGGUUGAAAUCUUAACUGAGAUUUGGGGGGGUGUUAUUCUUUUUUUCAAAAAUGGCAGAGCAAAUGAGGUGGGUCAAAUGCUUGGGUUUUACCAAAUAAACGCCAUUGAAUGGCUUUUGUUUUAAAUGGCAAUUGAAGCUGGACCUACACACUUUGGCUCAAAAUGGGUAAUUUGUGUGUUGAGUCCCCCCCUUUGUGCUAGGGUUCAAUUGGGUUCUGCUUAUUCUUUCUUUGAUUAUUUAAAUUCAUCCCUAGAAUUUGCGUGUUAUUCCAGUUUAG